rnacentral:rRNA from 1 species
UGCUUGCACCUUUCAAGUGAGUGGCGAACGGGUGAGUAACACGUGGACAACCUGCCUCAAGGCUGGGGAUAACAUUUGGAAACAGAUGCUAAUACCGAAUAAAACUUAGUGUCGCAUGACACAAAGUUAAAAGGCGCUUCGGCGUCACCUAGAGAUGGAUCCGCGGUGCAUUAGUUAGUUGGUGGGGUAAAGGCCUACCAAGACAAUGAUGCAUAGCCGAGUUGAGAGACUGAUCGGCCACAUUGGGACUGAGACACGGCCCAAACUCCUACGGGAGGCUGCAGUAGGGAAUCUUCCACAAUGGGCGAAAGCCUGAUGGAGCAACGCCGCGUGUGUGAUGAAGGCUUUCGGGUCGUAAAGCACUGUUGUAUGGGAAGAACAGCUAGAAUAGGAAAUGAUUUUAGUUUGACGGUACCAUACCAGAAAGGGACGGCUAAAUACGUGCCAGCAGCCGCGGUAAUACGUAUGUCCCGAGCGUUAUCCGGAUUUAUUGGGCGUAAAGCGAGCGCAGACGGUUUAUUAAGUCUGAUGUGAAAGCCCGGAGCUCAACUCCGGAAUGGCAUUGGAAACUGGUUAACUUGAGUGCAGUAGAGGUAAGUGGAACUCCAUGUGUAGCGGUGGAAUGCGUAGAUAUAUGGAAGAACACCAGUGGCGAAGGCGGCUUACUGGACUGCAACUGACGUUGAGGCUCGAAAGUGUGGGUAGCAAACAGGAUUAGAUACCCUGGGUAGUCCACACCGUAAACGAUGAACACUAGGUGUUAGGAGGUUUCCGCCUCUUAGUGCCGAAGCUAACGCAUUAAGUGUUCCGCCUGGGGAGUACGACCGCAAGGUUGAAACUCAAAGGAAUUGACCUGGGGACCCGCACAAGCGGUGGAGCAUGUGGUUUAAUUCGAAGCAA